rnacentral:rRNA from 1 species
ACGGAAGGCAGCAGUGGGGAAUAUUGGGCAAUGGGCGCAAGCCUGACCCAGCGACGCCGCGUGAAGGAAGAAGGUCUUCGGAUUGUAAACUUUAGUACUCGGGGACGAGCAAAGACGGUACCCGGGGUUAAGCCACGGCUAACUACGUGCCAGCAGCCGCGGUAAUACGUAGGUGGCGAGCGUUAUCCGGAUUUACUGGGUGUAAAGGGUGUGUAGGCGGGACUGCAAGUCAGAUGUGAAAAUUACGGGCUCAACUCGUAACCUGCAUUUGAAACUGUGGUUCUUGAGUGUCGGAGAGGUAAAUGGAAUUCCUGGUGUAGCGGUGAAAUGCGUAGAUAUCAGGAGGAACACCGGUGGCGAAGGCGAUUUACUGGACGACAACUGACGCUGAGACACGAAAGUAUGGGGAGCAAACAGGAUUAGAUACCCUGGUA